rnacentral:rRNA from 1 species
GGGGAAUUUUGGACAAUGGGCGCAAGCCUGAUCCAGCCAUGCCGCGUGAGUGAAGAAGGCCUUCGGGUUGUAAAGCUCUUUCAGUCGGGAAGAAACGGUGUUCUCUAACAUAGGGCACUAAUGACGGUACCGACAGAAGAAGCACCGGCUAACUACGUGCCAGCAGCCGCGGUAAUACGUAGGGUGCGAGCGUUAAUCGGAAUUACUGGGCGUAAAGCGUGCGCAGGCGGUUGUGUAAGACAGGUGUGAAAUCCCCGGGCUUAACCUGGGAACUGCGCUUGUGACUGCACGGCUAGAGUACGGCAGAGGGGGGUGGAAUUCCACGUGUAGCAGUGAAAUGCGUAGAUAUGUGGAGGAACACCGAUGGCGAAGGCAGCCCCCUGGGCCGAUACUGACGCUCAUGCACGAAAGCGUGGGGAGCAAAC